CAGCCGCCGCGGUAAUGCGUAGGUGGCAAGCGUUGUCCGGAAUUAUUGGGCGUAAAGGGCUCGCAGGCGGUUUCUUAAGUCUGGUGUGAAAGCCCCCGGCUCAACCGGGGAGGGUCAUUGGAAACUGGGAAACUUGAGUGCAGAAGAGGAGAGUAGAAUUCCACGUGUAGCGGUGAAAUGCGUAGAGAUGUGGAGGAACACCAGUGGCGAAGGCGACUCUCUGGUCUGUAACUGACGCUGAGGAGCGAAAGCGUGGGGAGCGAACAGGAUUAGAUACCCCUGUAGUCCCUGUCUCUUAUAC
rnacentral:rRNA from 1 species